rnacentral:rRNA from 1 species
UCAAGUGACUAAGUGCAUGUGGUGGAUGCCUUGGCGAUUACAGGCGACGAAGGACGUGAUAGCCUGCGAUAAGCUUCGGGGAGCUGGCAAAUUAGCUUUGAUCCGGAGAUUUCCGAAUGGGGAAACCCACCGAAAGGUAUCGCACACUGAAUACAUAGGUGUGCGAGGCGAACCGGGUGAACUGAAACAUCUCAGUAGCUCGAGGAAAAGACAUCAACCGAGAUUCCGAAAGUAGUGGCGAGCGAAAUCGGAACAGCCUGCGCGUUUUAGCCAUCGACUUAUCAGAACGGAAUGGAAAGUCCGGCCACAGCGGGUGAUAGCCCCGUAUGAAAAAAGUUGGUGGUGGAACUAGGCGCGCGACAAGUAGGGCGGGACACGUGAAAUCCUGUCUGAAGAUGGGGGGACCAUCCUCCAAGGCUAAAUACUCGUAAUCGACCGAUAGCGAACUAGUACCGUGAGGGAAAGGCGAAAAGAACCCCGGGAGGGGAGUGAAAUAGAUCCUGAAACCGCAUGCAUACAAACAGUCGGAGCCCGCAAGGGUGACGGCGUACCUUUUGUAUAAUGGGUCAGCGACUUACAUUCAGUGGCAAGGUUAACCGAAUAGGGUAGCCGUAGAGAAAUCGAGUCCGAAUAGGGCGUUCAGUCGCUGGGUGUAGACCCGAAACCAAGUGAUCUAUCCAUGGCCAGGAUGAAGGUGAGGUAACACUUACUGGAGGUCCGAACCGACUAGUGUUGCAAAACUAGCGGAUGAGCUGUGGAUAGGGGUGAAAGGCUAAACAAACUUGGAAAUAGCUGGUUCUCUCCGAAAACUAUUUAGGUAGUGCCUCAAGUAUUACCAUCGGGGGUAGAGCACUGUUAUGGCUAGGGGGUCAUGGCGACUUACCAAACCAUUGCAAACUCCGAAUACCGAUGAGUACAGCUUGGGAGACAGUGCACCGGGUGCUAACGUCCGGACACAAGAGGGAAACAACCCAGACCGCCAGCUAAGGUCCCUAAAAUUGGCUAAGUGGGAAACGAAGUGGGAAGGCUAAAACAGUCAGGAUGUUGGCUUAGAAGCAGCCAUCAUUUAAAGAAAGCGUAAUAGCUCACUGAUCGAGUCGUCCUGCGCGGAAGAUGUAACGGGGCUAAGCCAGUUACCGAAGCUGCGGA